GACGAACGCUGUUUGCGUGCUUAACACAUGCAAGUCGAACGGAAAGGCCCUGCUUUUGUGGGGUGCUCGAGUGGCGAACGGGUGAGUAACACGUGAGUAACCUGCCCUUGACUUUGGGAUAACUUCAGGAAACUGGGGCUAAUACCGGAUAGGAGCUCCUGCUGCAUGGUGGGGGUUGGAAAGUUUCGGCGGUUGGGGAUGGACUCGCGGCUUAUCAGCUUGUUGGUGGGGUAGUGGCUUACCAAGGCUUUGACGGGUAGCCGGCCUGAGAGGGUGACCGGCCACAUUGGGACUGAGAUACGGCCCAGACUCCUACGGGAGGCAGCAGUGGGGAAUAUUGCACAAUGGGCGGAAGCCUGAUGCAGCAACGCCGCGUGCGGGAUGACGGCCUUCGGGUUGUAAACCGCUUUCGCCUGUGACGAAGCGUGAGUGACGGUAAUGGGUAAAGAAGCACCGGCUAACUACGUGCCAGCAGCCGCGGUGAUACGUAGGGUGCGAGCGUUGUCCGGAUUUAUUGGGCGUAAAGGGCUCGUAGGUGGUUGAUCGCGUCGGAAGUGUAAUCUUGGGGCUUAACCCUGAGCGUGCUUUCGAUACGGGUUGACUUGAGGAAGGUAGGGGAGAAUGGAAUUCCUGGUGGAGCGGUGGAAUGCGCAGAUAUCAGGAGGAACACCAGUGGCGAAGGCGGUUCUCUGGGCCUUUCCUGACGCUGAGGAGCGAAAGCGUGGGGAGCGAACAGGCUUAGAUACCCUGGUAGUCCACGCUGUAAACGGUGGGUACUAGGUGUGGGGUCCAUUCCACGGGUUCCGUGCCGUAGCUAACGCUUUAAGUACCCCGCCUGGGGAGUACGGCCGCAAGGCUAAAACUCAAAGGAAUUGACGGGGCCCCGCAUAAGCGGCGGAGCAUGCGGAUUAAUUCGAUGCAACGCGUAGAACCUUACCUGGGUUUGACAUGGAUCGGGAGUGCUCAGAGAUGGGUGUGCCUCUUUUGGGGUCGGUUCACAGGUGGUGCAUGGCUGUCGUCAGCUCGUGUCGUGAGAUGUUGGGUUAAGUCCCGCAACGAGCGCAACCCUUGUUCACUGUUGCCAGCACGUUAUGGUGGGGACUCAGUGGAGACCGCCGGGGUCAACUCGGAGGAAGGUGGGGAUGACGUCAAGUCAUCAUGCCCCUUAUGUCCAGGGCUUCACGCAUGCUACAAUGGCUGGUACAGAGAGUGGCGAGCCUGUGAGGGUGAGCGAAUCUCGGAAAGCCGGUCUCAGUUCGGAUUGGGGUCUGCAACUCGACCUCAUGAAGUCGGAGUCGCUAGUAAUCGCAGAUCAGCAACGCUGCGGUGAAUACGUUCCCGGGGCU
rnacentral:rRNA from 1 species